rnacentral:rRNA from 1 species
AGAGUUUGAUCCUGGCUCAGGACGAACGCUGGCGGCGUGCCUAAUACAUGCAAGUAGGACGCUGAAGAGAGGAGCUUGCUCUUCUUGGAUGAGUUGCGAACGGGUGAGUAACGCGUAGGUAACCUGCCUUGUAGCGGGGGAUAACUAUUGGAAACGAUAGCUAAUACCGCAUAACAAUGGAUGACACAUGUCAUUUAUUUGAAAGGGGCAAUUGCUCCACUACAAGAUGGACCUGCGUUGUAUUAGCUAGUAGGUGAGGUAACGGCUCACCUAGGCGACGAUACAUAGCCGACCUGAGAGGGUGAUCGGCCACACUGGGACUGAGACACGGCCCAGACUCCUACGGGAGGCAGCAGUAGGGAAUCUUCGGCAAUGGGGGCAACCCUGACCGAGCAACGCCGCGUGAGUGAAGAAGGUUUUCGGAUCGUAAAGCUCUGUUGUAAGUCAAGAACGAGUGUGAGAGUGGAAAGUUCACACUGUGACGGUAGCUUACCAGAAAGGGACGGCUAACUACGUGCCAGCAGCCGCGGUAAUACGUAGGUCCCGAGCGUUGUCCGGAUUUAUUGGGCGUAAAGCGAGCGCAGGCGGUUUGAUAAGUCUGAAGUUAAAGGCUGUGGCUCAACCAUAGUUCGCUUUGGAAACUGUCAAACUUGAGUGCAGAAGGGGAGAGUGGAAUUCCAUGUGUAGCGGUGAAAUGCGUAGAUAUAUGGAGGAACACCGGUGGCGAAAGCGGCUCUCUGGUCUGUAACUGACGCUGAGGCUCGAAAGCGUGGGGAGCGAACAGGAUUAGAUACCCUGGUAGUCCACGCCGUAAACGAUGAGUGCUAGGUGUUGGAUCCUUUCCGGGAUUCAGUGCCGCAGCUAACGCAUUAAGCACUCCGCCUGGGGAGUACGACCGCAAGGUUGAAACUCAAAGGAAUUGACGGGGGCCCGCACAAGCGGAGGAACAUGUGGUUUAAUUCGAUGAUACGCGAGGAACCUUACCCGGGCUUGAAUUGCAGAGGAAGGAUUUAGAGAUAAUGACGCCCUUCGGGGUCUCUGUGAAGGUGCUGCAUGGUUGUCGUCAGCUCGUGCCGUGAGGUGUCGGCUUAAGUGCCAUAACGAGCGCAACCCCUCUCUUCAGUUGCCAUCAGGUAAUGCUGGGCACUCUGGAGACACUGCCACCGUAAGGUGUGAGGAAGGUGGGGAUGACGUCAAAUCAGCACGGCCCUUACGUCCGGGGCUACACACGUGUUACAAUGGCCGGUACAGAGGGAUGGUGUAAUGCAAAUUGCAUCCAAUCUUGAAAGCCGGUCCCAGUUCGGACUGGGGUCUGCAACCCGACCCCACGAAGCUGGAUUCGCUAGUAAUCGCGCAUCAGCCAUGGCGCGGUGAAUACGUUCCCGGGCCUUGUACACACCGCCCGUCAA